GAGGAGCAGCGAGUCAAGAUGAGAGUUCAGCCGCGGCGGCAGCAGCAGCAGAGUGUUGCUCUGUCGCCCAGGCAGGAGUGCAGUGGCGUGAUCUCGGCUCACUUCAGCUUCCACCUCCAGGGUUCAAGCGAUUCUCCUGCUUCAGCCUCCCGAGUAGCUGGGAUUACAAGUGCGUGCCACCGCACCCGGCUAAUUUUUUUGUAUUCUUAGUACAGAUGGGGUUUCACUGUGUUGGCCAGGCUGGUCUCUAACUCCUGACCUGAAGUGAUCUGCCCGCCUUGGUCUCCCAAAGUGCCGGGAUUACAGGUGUGAGCCACCAUGCCCAGCCCAUAUAUUCUUAAUUUCUUGAGUAAGCCCUUGAUUUCUCAUGUGACCUUUUUUCUGAUCCCUUAAAUUAAAAAAUUUUUUUGAGAUGCAUUAAUGUAAAUUUUAUCCAUUUAUUUAUUUGUUUCAUUUUGUCUCUCAAGUUGGUUUAUAGAGAUUUAUCAACUGUAUGGCAAGAAAUGCAAAAUAAAAA
rnacentral:lncRNA from 1 species